rnacentral:rRNA from 1 species
CCUACGGGGGGCUGCAGUGAGGAAUAUUGGUCAAUGGUCGCGAGACUGAACCAGCCAAGUCGCGUGAGGGAGGACUGUCCUACGGGUUGUAAACUUCUUUUAUAAAGGAACAAAGUGAGGCACGUGUGCCUUUAUGUAUGUACCUGAUGAAUAAGCAUCGGCUAACUCCGUGCCAGCAGCCGCGGUAAUACGGAGGAUCCGAGCGUUAUCCGGUUUUCUUGGGUUUAAAGGGUUCGUAGGCGGAAUGCCAAGUCAGCGGUAAAAGCCCGGGGCUAAACCUCGGUCCGCCGUUGAAACUGGCGGUCUUGAGUGGGCGAGAAGUAUGCGGAAUGCGUGGUGUAGCGGUGAAAUGCAUAGAGAUCGCGCAGAACUCCGAUUGCGAAGGCAGCAUACCGGCGCCCAACUGACGCUGAGGCACGAAAGCGUGGGUAUCGAACAGGAUUAGAUACCCUUGUAGUC